UACAGAGGGGGCAAGCGUUAUUCGGAAUUAUUGGGCGUAAAGAGCGAGCAGGCGGUUCGACAAGUCAGAUGUAAAAUAUCCCGGCUUAACCGGGAGGGGCCAUUUGAAACUGUCGGACUAGAGUGGAGCAGAGGAUAGUGGAAUUCCCGGUGUAGUGGUGAAAUGCGUAGAUAUCGGGAGGAACACCAGUGGCGAAGGCGACUAUCUGGGCUUUAACUGACGCUGAGGCGCGAAGGCCGGGGGAGCAAACAGG
rnacentral:rRNA from 1 species